rnacentral:rRNA from 1 species
UACGAAGGGGGCUAGCGUUGUUCGGAAUCACUGGGCGUAAAGCGCACGUAGGCGGACUCUUAAGUCGGUGGUGAAAUCCUGGAGCUCAACUCCAGAACUGCCUUCGAUACUGAGAGUCUUGAGUCCGGGAGAGGUGAGUGGAACUGCGAGUGUAGAGGUGAAAUUCGUAGAUAUUCGCAAGAACACCAGUGGCGAAGGCGGCUCACUGGCCCGAUACUGACGCUGAGGCACGAAAGCGUGGGGAGCAAACAGGG